GAUGAAGAACGUAGCAAAACGCGAAAGGUAAUGCGAAUUGCAGAUCAGUGAGUCAUCGAAUAUUUGAACGCACAUUGCGCCUCUCGGUAUUCCGGGGGGCAUGCCUGUCCGAGCGUCAUUGCUGCCCUCAAGCACGGCUUGUGUGUUGGGCCCCGUCCUCCGAUCCCGGGGGACGGGCCCGAAAGGCAGCGGCGGCACCGCGUCCGGUCCUCGAGCGUAUGGGGCUUUGUCACCCGCUCUGUAGGCCCGGCCGGCGCUUGCCGAUCAACCCAAAUUUUUAUCCAGGUUGACCUCGGAUCAGGUAGGGAUACCCGCUGAACUUAAGCAUAUCAAUAAGCGGAGGA
rnacentral:misc_RNA from 1 species